GCCCCGAUAGCUCAGUGGAUAGAGCGUCUGCCUCCGGAGCAGAAGGUCGCAGGUUCGAAUCCUGUUCGGGGUACCA
rnacentral:tRNA from 1 species